GGCGCUGUGGCUAAGUUGGUUGAUGCGCCUGUCUAGUAAACAGGAGAUCCUGAGUUCGAAUCUCAGCAGUGCCU
rnacentral:tRNA from 1 species